rnacentral:rRNA from 1 species
CAGGCCUAACACAUGCAAGUCGAACGCCCCGCAAGGGGAGUGGCAGACGGGUGAGUAACGCGUGGGAAUCUACCUUUUGCUACGGGAUAGCUCCGGGAAACUGGAAUUAAUACCGUAUGUGCCCUUUGGGGGAAAGAUUUAUCGGCAAAGGAUGAGCCCGCGUUGGAUUAGCUAGUUGGUGGGGUAAAGGCCUACCAAGCCGACGAUCCAUAGCUGGUCUGAGAGGAUGAUCAGCCACACUGGGACUGAGACACGGCCCAGACUCCUACGGGAGGCAGCAGUGGGGAAUAUUGGACAAUGGGCGCAAGCCUGAUCCAGCAAUGCCGCGUGAGUGAUGAAGGCCUUAGGGUUGUAAAGCUCUUUUGUCCGGGACGAUAAUGACGGUACCGGCAGCAAUAGU